rnacentral:rRNA from 2 species
UACGGAGGAUGCAAGCGUUAUCCGGAUUUAUUGGGUUUAAAGGGUGCGUAGGCGGUAUUACAAGUCAGGGGUGAAAUCUUGGUGCUUAACAUUAAAAUUGCCUUUGAAACUGUGGUACUUGAGUGUAAAAGAGGUAGGCGGAAUGUGUUGUGUAGCGGUGAAAUGCAUAGAUAUAACACAGAACCCCGAUUGCGAAGGCAGCUUACUAUCAUACAACUGACGCUGAUGCACGAAAGCGUGGGGAUCAAACAGG